ACUUGCAAGGAAACGCUAUUUCUUACAUUGGUAAAGAUACCUGGAAGUCAUACCAUUUGGUUGAGAAACUAAAUCUCAGUGCAAAUAAUUUGAGAGAAUUACGUAAAGAUUCAUUUGAAGGCCUGGAUUCCCUCCACUAUUUGGACUUGUCCUGCAAUAAAAUAGAAUUUAUUGAAAAGAAUGCAUUUGAUUCAUUACCUCUUUUACAAUAUAUAAAUCUUGGUUGCAAUUUAAUCACAAAAGUGAACUUUGGAACAUUUCAAACCUGGCAUGGAAUGCAGCUGUUACACAAGUU